GACGAACCGUGCAAACGUUAUUCGGAAUCACUGGGCAUAAAGGGCGCGUAGGCGGCUCCAAAAGUCAGGGGUGAAAUCCGGCAGCUUAACUGUCGCAGUGCCUUUGAUACUGUGGAGCUAGAGGGAUGUAGGGGUCUGUGGAACUUCCGGUGGAGCGGUGAAAUGCGUUGAUAUCGGAAGGAACGCCGGUGGCGAAAGCGACGGACUGGACAUCUUCUGACGCUGAGGCGCGAAAGCCAGGGGAGCAAGCGGG
rnacentral:rRNA from 1 species